rnacentral:rRNA from 1 species
GACCAAAGAGGGGGACCUUCGGGCCUCUUGCCAUCGGAUGUGCCCAGAUGGGAUUAGCUUGUUGGUGGGGUAACGGCUCACCAAGGCGACGAUCCCUAGCUGGUCUGAGAGGAUGACCAGCCACACUGGAACUGAGACACGGUCCAGACUCCUACGGGAGGCAGCAGUGGGGAAUAUUGCACAAUGGGCGCAAGCCUGAUGCAGCCAUGCCGCGUGUAUGAAGAAGGCCUUCGGGUUGUAAAGUACUUUCAGCGGGGAGGAAGGGAGUAAAGUUAAUACCUUUGCUCAUUGACGUUACCCGCAGAAGAAGCACCGGCUAACUCCGUGCCAGCAGCCGCGGUAAUACGGAGGGUGCAAGCGUUAAUCGGAAUUACUGGGCGUAAAGCGCACGCAGGCGGUUUGUUAAGUCAGAUGUGAAUCCCCGGGCUCAACCUGGGAACUGCAUCUGAUACUGGCAAGCUUGAGUCUCGUAGAGGGGGGUAGAAUUCCAGGUGUAGCGGUGAAAUGCGUAGAGAUCUGGAGGA